ACGUGGUUGAUGGUCUCUGCCCUAGCUGGGAGGAGAGAGAGAGAGAGAAAAGAAGAGCCACCUCCUUGUUAGGCCCUCAAGCAGACUGGGCCCAAACUCGAGAAACCAAAGGAGUUUCACUUCAGAGCCUGUCUACAUCAGCAUGGGGCCACACAUGCCUUAUGUGACUAGACAUUGCUGUGGACAAGUGCAACAACAGGUUUCUUUGGUCCAGCAGUUGGCCUUGCUUACCUACAGCAGCCAAGACUUUAUCCAGGACCUUCCUGAGCUGCCGGCAUCAGCUCAGACAGGUGAGCCAGAUUGGUACUGCAUGCUAGCUAAGCGAGGAGGAAUAGCUGCUGUCACAACAGAGCAAUUUCCAGCAGCAACUCAUUUUGCAUUUAGCCCUGAUCAACCAGAUGGCAGCUCCUGUGUUACCAGUAGACAGUGUGUGUGUACAAUUUGCAUAGCAACAUAGGACCUCUACUGUGGAGUGCCUUGGUUAAUAACAACCACUUUCACACCUUGUCCUGGAUGACCCAGCACUGAUUGGAGUUUUAUAAACACUUUGUCUGGGAGUUGCUGGGUGGUCAGGACCUUUCCAAACAACAAAAACAA